GACGAACGCUGGCGGCGUGCUUAACACAUGCAAGUCGAACGAUGAAGCACCAGCUUGCUGGUGUGGAUUAGUGGCGAACGGGUGAGUAACACGUGAGUAACCUGCCCCUCACUCUGGGAUAAGCCUGGGAAACUGGGUCUAAUACUGGAUACGACCGAUCUCCGCAUGGAGUGUUGGUGGAAAGUUUUUGUGGUGGGGGAUGGACUCGCGGCCUAUCAGCUUGUUGGUGGGGUAAUGGCCUACCAAGGCGACGACGGGUAGCCGGCCUGAGAGGGCGACCGGCCACACUGGGACUGAGACACGGCCCAGACUCCUACGGGAGGCAGCAGUGGGGAAUAUUGCACAAUGGGCGAAAGCCUGAUGCAGCGACGCCGCGUGAGGGAUGACGGCCUUCGGGUUGUAAACCUCUUUCACCAGGGACGAAGCUAACGUGACGGUACCUGGAGAAGAAGCACCGGCUAACUACGU
rnacentral:rRNA from 1 species